rnacentral:rRNA from 1 species
GAUGAACGCUGGCGGCGUGCCUAAUACAUGCAAGUCGAGCGAACAGACGAGGAGCUUGCUCCUCUGACGUUAGCGGCGGACGGGUGAGUAACACGUGGAUAACCUACCUAUAAGACUGGGAUAACUUCGGGAAACCGGAGCUAAUACCGGAUAAUAUAUUGAACCGCAUGGUUCAAUAGUGAAAGACGGUUUUGCUGUCACUUAUAGAUGGAUCCGCGCCGCAUUAGCUAGUUGGUAAGGUAACGGCUUACCAAGGCAACGAUGGGUAGCCGUCCUGAGAGGGUGAGCGGCCGCGCGGGAGGGGAGGGGGGGGCGAGACUCCUACGGGAGGCAGCAGUAGGGAAUCUUCCGCAAUGGGCGAAAGCCUGACGGAGCAACGCCGCGUGAGUGAUGAAGGUCUUCGGAUCGUAAAACUCUGUUAUUAGGGAAGAACAAAUGUGUAAGUAACUAUGCACGUCUUGACGGUACCUAAUCAGAAAGCCACGGCUAACUACGUG